rnacentral:lncRNA from 1 species
AAGUCUCAAGUUCGAUUUCCUCCUCCAUCUCUCUUAGUUAUUGAUGCUAAGAAGUUUUAUUUUAUUUUAUUUUAUUUUUUUGGUUAUCUUAGGGAUGAAAUCCAACGCAUCAAGGGUGGAAAUCCAGACAUCACCCACAGAGAGGCUUCACCUCUCUUAGCGAGAGGGAAGAGCGAGGGCCUUUGAGCGGAAGAAAGGGGCGGACGAAGCGGGAGGAAGGAGUGUUCAAA